rnacentral:misc_RNA from 1 species
UCGUAACAAGGUUUCCGUAGGUGAACCUGCGGAAGGAUCAUUAACGCGCAGGCCGGAGGCCGGCCCCCCAGGAUAGGGCCAAACGUCCGUCAGGGGUGAGCAGAUGUGCGCCGGCCGUACCGCCCCAUUCUUGUCUACCUUACUCGGUUGCCUCGGCGGGCCGCGCUCUCCCAGGAGAGCCGUUCGGCGAGCCUCUCUUUAUAGCGGCUCAACGCUGGACCGCGCCCGCCGGAGGACAGACGCAAAAAAAAAUUCUUUCAGAAGAGCUGUCAGUCUGAGCGUUAGCAAGCAAAAAUCAGUUAAAACUUUCAACAACGGAUCUCUUGGUUCCGGCAUCGAUGAAGAACGCAGCGAAAUGCGAUAAGUAAUGUGAAUUGCAGAAUUCCGUGAAUCAUCGAAUCUUUGAACGCACAUUGCGCCCCCUGGCAUUCCGGGGGGCAUGCCUGUUCGAGCGUCAUUUCAGCCCCUCAAGCCCGGCUUGUGUGAUGGACGACCGUCCGGCGCCCCCGUCUCUGGGGGUGCGGGACGCGCCCGAAAAGCAGUGGCCAGGCCGCGAUUCCGGCUUUCUAGGCGAAUGGGCAACAAACCAGCGCCUCCAGGACCGGCCGCCCUGGCCUCAAAAUCUGUUUUAUACUUAUCAGGUUGACCUCGGAUCAGGUAGGGAUACCCGCUGAACUUAAGCAUAUCAAUAAGCGGAGGAA